CACCCAGAUCACCAAGACGGUGAAAGGAGGGAUCUCUGAGACUCGCAUUGAGAAGAGAAUCGUCAUCACUGGAGACACUGAAAUUGAUCAUGACAAGGCUUUGGCCCAGGCCAUUAAAGAAGCAAAAGAGC